rnacentral:lncRNA from 1 species
CAGAUUCUCAAUAAAGUCUCCAGAUUUUAUAUAGUAACAACAACAACAACAACAAAAGCAGCCUUGAGAACAUUUUGGAAGAAGCUAAUCCUGAAACUACUGUAGUCACGGCAUGCAGACCACUACAGGGCUGUCUGCUGAGAGCUCUCUCAUUGCAAGUCAAGCUUUAGGAGAUUCUGUUGCAUGGAAGAAGGAUGGAGCACCAAAGGGUACAAGCGCGUGGACACCAUUUUGAAUUGUACUCCAACUGCAUCAUCUUCCCCUUGACCUGGACACGGAGCCUCUGAACCAAGGCCACACAGAUAAUGAUGUAACCUUGUGGCUGCCCUCCUGGAACGUGAGACCGUGGGUCACACUGGUGGAACCACCAACAUCUCGAAGAAUGAGUAAUAGUGCCCAUGAGCCAGCUGCACCUCAGGGACCCACCUCACCAGCGAAAACCAACAAAUCCAUGGCAGGGUCCAGGACUGAGAUGAUGACCCCAGAGGAAUAAUAAUUAUAGAUUUAUGGUAAAAAAAUGUG